ACGAACGCUGGCGGCGUGCUUAACCCCUGCCAGUCGAACGGAAAGGCCCUGCUUUUGUGGGGUGCUCGAGUGGCGAACGGGUGAGUAACACGUGAGUAACCUGCCCUUGACUUUGGGAUAACUUCAGGAAACUGGGGCUAAUACCGGAUAGGAGCUCCUGCUGCAUGGUGGGGGUUGGAAAGUUUCGGCGGUUGGGGAUGGACUCGCGGCUUAUCAGCUUGUUGGUGGGGUAGUGGCUUACCAAGGCUUUGACGGGUAGCCGGCCUGGGAGGGUGACCGGCCACAUUGGGACUGGGAUACGGCCCAGACUCCUACGGGAGGCAGCAGUGGGGAAUAUUGCACAAUGGGCGGAAGCCUGAUGCAGCAACGCCGCGUGCGGGAUGACGGCCUUCGGGUUGUAAACCGCUUUCGCCUGUGACGAAGCGUGAGUGACGGUAAUGGGUAAAGAAGCACCGGCUAACUACGUG
rnacentral:rRNA from 1 species